GAAGGGGAGGAGGGGGAGGGGAGAAGGAUGCACCCCUGCACCUGGCUUCAAUUAGACUCUGAUUGGGAGUUUAGCUAUAUAUUUUUCUGUAAUAAUGGCAGUGUAUGUAAAUUUUGGGCACACUAAUAAGGAGCCGUGAGAAACAACAUGCAAAGUCUUCUGAGUCGAGGUGCUUCCAAGUCGCAAACUUGCCUAGGUCCAGUUUCACGCAGUGACUGCAACUUCACAGCGAAAUGUUGAUCAAGAGGAAAACAAGAUUCAGCCCCCAAAAACAUGUGCUCCGUUUUCAAUGUCACCUGAAACCAGAGAAGAAUCUUCAGCAGCCAGUUUCUCAUGCUGGUCAUACAAAUGUAGAUGCUGUGGAGGCUCUGCAGUCACUUAAUAAUGUACAGUCAAAUCACCUGACCUCCGGACAUCAGUUUCCAGCCCCCUGAAGUGAUGUGAUUGUAAUCUGUCAGUGUUUGCUCAGAGAGUUCUUGUCAUCUAUCAUGGCUCUUGUGGUGCAAAAAGAUUAUGCAAGGGAAAAGGGGAGUCUGGCUGUCCAUGCCAUAACCAGGUCUCGGACUCUCCCACUGAUCUGGUUUAAAGGACACUGGGCUAAAGUUCUCUAUGAUCCUUUCCAGCUUUAAACAUUAAAAGAAAUUAUUGUGUUUCUUCAAUAGAGCAUUAUUCAAUUCAUUGGAAUUUGUCAAUGAUUUAGUACUUUAAGUUGUUUUAUUAAAUCUGCAUAUUUUGUAGCAGAUAGUGCUUUUCAAGGUUAUGGUUGACUGAUCUCAACAACCCAUGGAAUACAGCUGGUUUAAUAUUACCACAAUGAGCAGGGAAAUAUACCACAAAGUUAACACCAGUGUUUAACAGACCUGGACAGCUUCUUUGUUUUACCCCGCAGCUGUCAAACUAACAAAUCAUUGGAUCAUUCUUUCUACCAGGAUAUAGGUGUUAAAUAGAGCCUCAAGGUGAAAGCACCAUUUGGCAAGUUAUCAAGUCUGGGCUAAAUAACUGUUGAUGCUUUGAAAGUAUGAUUUAACCACCUGCUAGUGAUGGGAUGUGUCCUGGGAACUUAGCCACUGGGGAAAGUUCAGCAGUGAUCCCUAAUUACUCCAGUAUGCUCUGAUGUGAAAACCCCACUGAUAAUCAGUAUGAGUCCCAUUAUUCCUUGAGGUGGUGGCAUGCAAGUACUAUCAUUUUACACCUAGGACAGGUGGCUACAAACACCUGCCAGCUGAACAAUCAUUAAUAACUGGCAAUUAUGGAGAGUUGGUCAUGAACCAGGCACACUGCUAAGUCAUCUACAAGUACUAAGUCAUUUAAUCUCUAAGGACUUAUGAGGAAAGUACAGUUAUUAAUCUCAUCAUAUAUAUAUAUGUAUAUACAUAUAUAUAUAUAUAUAUAUAUAUAUAUAUAUAUAUAUAAUAUGAUUGAAGUGAAGAGAGGUUAAAUAACUGCCCCCAAAUCACACAGCUGGAAAGCGACAGAGUGGGACUUGCACUCACAUUUUAAGAAAAUUUGUAUGCAUGCUUUUUAUAUGAAUCUUUUGACCAGAGUGUCCUUGUCAUUGCUGGAGUCACUGUUGAUGAAUAACCUUUUUUUUUAAAAAAGAAAUCACAAUUCUGGACAGUAAAAAGUCAGGGGACAUCACAAUCCAUGACCUGAAAUUAUACUACAAAGCUACUGUGAUAAAAUCAGCAUGGUAUUAUUUAAAAAAAAAAAAAAAAAAAACAAACAGACCUGAGGAUAGUUGAACAGAAGAUACAGAUGGAACUCCAAACACACUCAGCCACUUUAGUUUUGACAAAGAAGCCUGUUCACUGGAAGAAGGAUAGUCUCGUAAAGAAAUAAUGCUGGGAAAACCGGCUUUCCACAUGUUGAGGAAUAAAAUUAGACCUAUGUCUAUCACCAGGUACUAAACUAAAGUCAAAAUGGCUUAAAGAUCCAAACAUUAUAGCAGAAACACUAAAUUAAUUGGAAGAAAAUAUAGGCAGAAAUCUUGAAGAUAUAGGGGUAGGCAGAGGCGUCAUAAAUAAAACCCAGACUGUUCAGGAAAUGCUAUGAAGAAUCAACAAAUGGGAUCUCAUUAAAAAGCUUUUGCACAACAAUAUAAAUUACCAACAGUGAAAAGACAGCCCAAAGAGUGGGAAAAUAUUGUAGCCAGUUGUCUUCAAGACAAAGAACUUACAUCUAGAACAUAUAAAGAAAUGAAAAAAACUAGGCCUCUAAAAUUCAAAGAUCCGAUCUAAAAAUGGGUAUCUGAGAUGAAUACACAUUUCUCUAAUGAGUAAAUACAAAUGGCAAAUAGAUACAUGAAAAGAAUGUUCACCAUCAUUGGUGAUUCAAGAAAUGUAAAUUAAAGCAACACUGAGAUUCCAUCUCACCAUGGAAAGAAUGGCUACCACCAAGAAAUAAAUCAAUAACAAAUCCUGUAGGGGCUGUGGGGAAAAAGAAACCCUUUUCCACUGUUGGUAGGAGUGUGGACUGGUGCAACCACUGUGAAAAUCCAUGUGGAGAUACUUAAAAAAAAAAAAAAGGAAUAGAGUUUCCAUUUGACCCAGAUAUUCCUCUGCUGGAUAUCUUCCCAGAAGAAUUAGAAACAUCAUACCACAGUGAUAUAUGUACAACCAUGUUUAUAGCAGCACAAUUUGUAAUAGCUAGAUUUUUGCAAACAAUCCAAAUACCUGUCAACUAAGGAAUUAAAAAGAUGCAGUCUUUUUAUACAGUAGAAUUCUACUCAGCCAUAAAAGAUAAACUGGACCUUUAAAAGUAAAUGGAUGCAACUGGAGACCAUACUCAUAAGUGAAAUAAACCAGAGUCACACGUAUAAACAUCGUAUUGUCUCCCUAGUGAGGGAAGCUGAAAAAGUAAAUAACAUCCAAACAUACUGUAGAUAUUGUGAAAUGGGAAGAAACUGUUCAAAAUGAAAGAGAAACUGAGCUGGGGAUAGGAGAGAAGAAGGAAGGGAGAGAAGCAACAAAUAUAUAUGAUAGUUAUGCUAAUUUCUCUGCUGCGAAACGUUUGUGCUAAUAUUGUCUGAACAAUUAAAUAUCUAUAUCUUGUACUCUGAGUAACUGAUUUAAAGAACAAUAUCCACUGUAUUGAUCAUUGUUAUUCUCCUACAGUUUUGAAAUAUUUUUUCUUUAAAAUAAACAAACUUGAAUCUA